AAAUAACUAAAGUGCCUUUUGUUGAUCCAAGAUCGUGUUCAACCUUACAGAGUAUAACAGGAAAUGUGAAUUGAUCUUUUUGCAUUGCGUCUUUGAAACUUUCAGAUGCAAGUUUAUCGCACUAGAGUGACGACUGAAGAGUUCGUUUGUACUAUUAUUCCGAACAUAAAUAGCAACUUUGAAGAGUGGUUUUAUUGCAUGAGCAGUAAUACAAAGACAUUAUAGCAAGGAAUAAAACAAUUAGCUAACGAUCGACUGCGCUUUAGGAAGAAGAAAGCCUCUCUUCUCUACCUGUGUACUGGAAGUUAAAAUAUGGAAAAACACACACGCAUCGGUAGAUCACCAAUUUGCAAUGACUUUGUAUUUUUCCCUUAAAAAGUAAUAAGUUUGAAUAAAGAAAGCUCUCUCCAUUUUUGUUAACAUGCGAUUGAUCUUCAGUGUGAAACGAUAAUUUCUUGCCUUUUCAUUGCAGGCGAAAAACCUCUAAAAACUUUGCGCGGAAUUUGUAAUGUCUUAUUUUCUUUUGCACAUAGCCUGUCUGAGUAGGUUAUAACAAUAACACGUUAGAGAGAAUUUAUCGAAUUUGUAAGGCUGCGAAGGGACAAUUUGAAAACGACUGUCUUUUAAGGUAAUUUACAUAUACUACUACAGUAUUCCUUUUUGUAACAAUUGACGUAAUACAUGUACAUCAGUUGUUUUUGCUAGAUUGAGAGAGAGAGAGAGAGAGAGAGAGAGAAUUCAUUCGUAGCAUUUUUAACUACAUUUAUUUCAAAGCUUAUGGUUUUGCAAUUUGUCACACAUUAUUACUUAAGCAUUGUUCGCUUAAUAAUCUUUUACCAAAUCCCUUUCUUUCUUUGAUUUCUUAUUUAGAGUCUUUUUAAUUGAUUUUUUUUUCAAAAUUCACCACCUUCAAAAACUAUAAUUUACUACGAUAAUGUUUUCCAAAAGGGAAAACAUAGGGGGUUCAAACCUAUUUGAUUUUUUGCAAUUCUUAUUCAACCAUUGUUUGAAGCAAAAUGACUAAACCAUAACAUGUUAGGACGGUUUCAAUAUUGAAAGCUUAGUGUAACAAUAAACCGUAUUCUUUUGACCAAAUGUGGGCCCUUGGGGGAAUGCAAUUUGUUAAAUACAAAUAUAAAGGGGCCAACUUUAACAUUCAUAAUAUUACCACGCAAAUAAAAUAAUGUAUAAUUGAUUCAAAUGCGUUGAAACCAUAAAAAUGACAAUUGAAUGGCUCCCCAAAGAGUGUAAAGUUUAGCAUAGCUUAGCUGUAUACAGGAAAUAUCUUUAAAAUAUUUUUUCCAAGAUUUACAAUUAUACAUUUUUUAAGUACUCAAGCAUUCUAUUCGGAUUUACAUAUAUAUUGUUUGUUCAAUUUUUAAAACCACUUCCCCAAUCCUGCCCUUCCCUAAGUUUAACAAUUUCUAUGCAAUAUAUAGAAAGAGACACUAUAACUCAUUUAGAAAAAUUCUAGUGAGCAAUGUGGCCCACGGGUCUUUUGGU
rnacentral:sRNA from 1 species